rnacentral:rRNA from 1 species
UACGUAGGGUGCGAGCGUUGUCCGGAAUUACUGGGCGUAAAGAGCUCGUAGGCGGUCUGUCGCGUCGGCUGUGAAAACCCGAGGCUCAACCUCGGGCCUGCAGUCGAUACGGGCAAACUAGAGUACUGCAGGGGAGACUGGAAUUCCUGGUGUAGCGGUGAAAUGCGCAGAUAUCAGGAGGAACACCCGUGGCUAAGGCGGCUCUCUAGUACGGUACUGACGCUGAGACGCGAAAGCGUGGGGAGCGAACAGG